rnacentral:rRNA from 1 species
AACGAACGCUGGCGGCAGGCUUAACACAUGCAAGUCGAACGCACCGCAAGGUGAGUGGCAGACGGGUGAGGAACACGUGGGAACAUCACCUUCAGUUCGGAAUAACUCAGGGAAACUUGAGCUAAUACCGGAUACGUCCGUGAGGAGAAAGAUUUAUCGCUGAAGGAAUGGCCCGCGUCUGAUUAGCUAGUUGGUGAGGUAACGGCUCACCAAGGCUACGAUCAGUAGCUGAUCUGAGAGGAUGAUCAGCCACAUUGGGACUGAGACACGGCCCAAACUCCUACGGGAGGCAGCAGUGGGGAAUAUUGGACAAUGGGCGCAAGCCUGAUCCAGCCAUGCCGCGUGAGUGAUGAAGGCCUUCGGGUUGUAAAGCUCUUUUGUCCGGGAAGAUAAUGACUGUACCGGAAGAAUAAGCCCCGGCAAACUUCGUGCCAGCAGCCGCCGCCG